rnacentral:tRNA from 1 species
AUGACCCUUGCAAACUGGGAAUCCCAGCCUCUUCCAAGGAGGCCAAAUGUCAAUGGGCCGGACAGGGUCAGGUUUUGUCCUGAGGGCCAAG